UAAUACGUAGGGUGCGAGCGUUAAUCGGAAUUACUGGGCGUAAAGCGUGCGCAGGCGGUUUGGUAAGACAGGCGUGAAAUCCCCGGGCUCAACCUGGGAACUGCGCUUGUGACUGCCAAGCUAGAGUGUGUCAGAGGGAGGUGGAAUUCCACGUGUAGCAGUGAAAUGCGUAGAGAUGUGGAGGAACACCGAUGGCGAAGGCAGCCUCCUGGGAUAACACUGACGCUCAUGCACGAAAGCGUGGGGAGCAAACAGG
rnacentral:rRNA from 1 species